rnacentral:rRNA from 1 species
AUAAGGUAUCUUAUCCUGAAUACAUAGGGGUA